GACAGAGGGGGCAAGCGUUGCUCGGAAUCACUGGGCGUAAAGCGCGCGCAGGCGGCCCUUUAAGUCCGUCGGUCAAAUGCCGGGGCUCAACCCCGAGCGUGCCGAGGAUACUGGAGGGCUGGAGACACGUAGAGGCAAGCGGAAUUCCGGGUGUAGCGGUGGAAUGCGUAGAGAUCCGGAAGAACACCGGAGGCGAAGGCGGCUUGCUGGGCGUGAUCUGACGCUGAGGCGCGAAAGCGUGGGGAGCGAACAGG
rnacentral:rRNA from 1 species